AGCGCUCCUCCCCGCAAAUGACCCCGCCCUAGGACCCAGAAAUCAGGACUGGCUUGGUGUCUCAAGGCAACUCAGAACCAAAGCCUGGAACAGGCAGCUGUAUCCACAGUGGACAGAAGCCCAGAGACUUGACUGCUGGAGAGGUGGUCAAGUGUCCCUCAAGGUCAGUAAUGAUGGGCCUACACUGAUUGGCGCAAAUGCCUCCUUCUCUAUUGCCUUGAACUUCCCUGGAAGCCAAAAGGCAUUGCCAGAUGGGCAGGUUAUCUGGGUCAACAAUACCAUCAUCAAUGGGAGCCAGGUGUGGGGAGGACAGCCAGUGUAUCCCCAGGAAACUGACGAUGCCUGCAUCUUCCCUGAUGGUGGACCUUGCCCAUCUGGCCCUUGGUCUCAGAAGAGAAGCUUUGUUUAUGUCUGGAAGACCUGGGGCCAAUACUGGCAAGUUCUAGGGGGCCCAGUGUCUGGGCUGAGCAUUGGGACAGGCAGGGCAAUGCUGGGCACACACACCAUGGAAGUGACUGUCUACCAUCGCCGGGGAUCCCGGAGCUAUGUGCCUGUUGCUCAUUCCAGCUCAGCCUU
rnacentral:sRNA from 1 species